rnacentral:rRNA from 1 species
GAUGAACGCUGGCGGCGUGCCUAAUACAUGCAAGUCGAACGAACAGACGCGGAGCUUGCUCCUCUGACGUGAGCGGCGGACGGGUGAGUAACACGUGUAUCACCUACCUAUAAGACUGGGAUAACUUCGGGAAACCGGAGCUAAUACCGGAUAAUAUCUUGAACCGCAUGGUUCAAUAGUGAAAGACGGUUUUGCUGUCACUUAUAGAUGGAUCCGCGCCGCAUUAGCUAGUUGGUAAGGUAAAGGCUUACCAAGGCAACGAUGCGUAGCCGACCUGAGAGGGUGAUAGGCGACCUGGGAAGUGAGACACGGUCCAGACUCCUACGGGAGGGAGCAGUAGGGAAUCGUCCGCAAUGGGCGAAAGCCUUACGGAGCAACGCCGCGUGAGUGAUGAAGGUCUUCGGAUCGUAAAACUCUGUUAUUAGUGAAGAACAAAUGUGUAAGUAACUAUGCACGUCUUGACGGUACCUAAUCAGAAAGCCCCGGCUAACUACGUG